rnacentral:lncRNA from 1 species
GAAGAAAUUUUGAUAUCAUAAUCAUAGAGUCAACAUUGAGAGAAAGUGCUGCAAGGCAUCGUCAUUUUUAACAAAUACAUCAAAAAGUAUGAAUCAGUAAAAACAUUAUUGUUCGAGUCAAAAAAAGGAGUUCCGUUUUAUUGCCAUAAAACCACUACGGUACUCUCCUUCAAGUGGCUUCGAGCUGCUCCCAUGCUUCCUUGGUUUCUAAGGCUGAACCUCGUGCGGCUUGGGAGGGAUUAAUGGCGGCUAUGUGCCAAAUGGGAUUCACAUGUAUGUGGCUCCAAAGAGACUCCCUAACGGUGAUCACUUGGAUUCGCAACAAUCUCUCCUCCUUUUGAUGCUCUGGUAUUCUCCCUUUGCUUCGCCUCAAAUCUCGGUCUCGCAUGCUUUUCGAGAAGCAAAUCUUACAUGCUUUCCCAGAAGUAAAUCAAUCAACGGAUGCUCUUGCCUUAUCCCAUGUGGCUGCCUCCUUUUCCUCUAUUUCUUUGCUGCCCUCUAUUGCUCGAUCGCUGGUGUUGGCUGAUGUGGCCGGCAUCAGCUUCCCUAGAGCCUAGCUUCUUUCCUGCCUUCUCUCUUUUGGGCCUUCGGAGCCCCCUCUAAUAACCAAAAAAAAAAAAACUUAACUAAAGGCUGACAUUGAUACCACCAAAUAUUGUCUCCUGCUUUGAAAUGGACUGCACUUAACAUUCACACCAUGGUUAACCGUGGAAACGUCAUGAAUUUGGGCAACUGUGUUCGGCUACUAAAAACCUGAAAUGGAGAGUGAAAGAAAAUGACGAAUAAUUAUUGAUAUAAUUUUUAAAGAUUAUAACUAAUGAUUUUUGCAGUAAAUUACUUCAGCAGAAGCCUACCGUACUUUGCGCAAAGCCUAGCGUCGACCAUCUAGUUCCAGAGCAAUUGCACCAGUUUUUGGCAUCAUGUAGACAACAAGCAGACAAUGCAUGCGACCA